rnacentral:rRNA from 1 species
GACGAACGCUGGCGGCGUGCCUAAUACAUGCAAGUCGAACGCUGAAGGAGGAGCUUGCUUCUCUGGAUGAGUUGCGAACGGGUGAGUAACGCGUAGGUAACCUGCCUGGUAGCGGGGGAUAACUAUUGGAAACGAUAGCUAAUACCGCAUAAGAGUAGAUGUUGCAUGACAUUUGCUUAAAAGGUGCAAUUGCAUCACUACCAGAUGGACCUGCGUUGUAUUAGCUAGUUGGUGAGGUAACGGCUCACCAAGGCGACGAUACAUAGCCGACCUGAGAGGGUGAUCGGCCACACUGGGACUGAGACACGGCCCAGACUCCUACGGGAGGCAGCAGUAGGGAAUCUUCGGCAAUGGACGGAAGUCUGACCGAGCAACGCCGCGUGAGUGAAGAAGGGUUUCGGAUCGUAAAGCUCUGUUGUAAGAGAAGAACGAGUGUGAGAGUGGAAAGUUCACACUGUGACGGUAGCUUACCAGAAAGGGACGGCUAACUACGUG